CAUAUCAUAUUGAAACACCAGUUUUCAUAAGAUCACCAAAGUUAAGCAACAUCAAGCCAGGUCAGUUCCUAGAUGGGUGACUGCUUGGAAAUACCAGGUGCUGUUAG